rnacentral:rRNA from 1 species
UACGUAGGGGGCGAGCGUUGUCCGGAUUCAUUGGGCGUAAAGCGCGCGUAGGCGGCUUCGCAAGUCGGCCGUGAAAUCUCCGGGCUCAACUCGGAGGGGUCGGGCGAGACUGCGAGGCUCGAGGUGGGCAGAGGGCAGUGGAAUUCCGGGUGUAGUGGUGGAGUGCGUAGAGAUCCGGAGGAACACCAGUGGCGAAGGCGGCUGCCUGGGCCUGGCCUGACGCUGAGGCGCGAAAGCGUGGGGAGCAAUCCGG